UCUCCUUUCUUCUUUUGUCUCACUAUGUUGCCCACACUGGCCUCCAACUCCUGGACUCAAGGGGUCCUCCUGCCUUAGUCUCCUGAGUGACUGGGACUAGAGGUAUGGGCCACUUGAAACUAGUUGCUUUUGUUAUUGUUGUUGAGCAGACUUUAUUCUGGACAUAGGUGGCUGGGUGCUCAGUCCCCCAGCAAGAUAGAUGCCUCAUGCACAUAUUGCCAUACCACAUGGUCCAACAAGGUGUGCACAUCUCUAGCAGCUUGGGCAGUGGCCUCUAGCACCCGCUGCAAGUGGUCCUCAUGCAGCCGGGCAUCCAUUUCAAUCCAGCCUGAGGCUGGCAGCAGGGCCAGGGCUAGUUGGGGACCACCAGCUGUUUCCUCUACGUGGCUGAGGUCUCCCAGGGCUGUGUCUUCCACAAAACCAGCUGAACAUGCACAAAGUCCGGCAUGGGUAUCCCAGCAUCCAACACUGCCAUCACACAAGCUGCAUAGGUUCCACUAUCAGCCUGCAGCACCUGCACACAGAUGUCAAUCUGGGAUCGUGGGUGCAGCUCAGUAAGAAAAGGUCUGGCACAGCUGUAGGCCCAUUUCACAGGUCUUACAGCCUCCAUGUGGCCUCUGCUUGCGCUCACCUGUGCUGAAGGUUGCUGAACUAUACUGACAGUUCACCAGAGCCCGGUCAGGCAGACUUGGAACCCCGAUCUCCCUGGAAACGGUUAUUUGGAAUUAUCUCCUCUCCAUCCACCAGCAUUCUUUCGGCUUUGCAGAAAUGUCAUGUUUGUUUCUAUCCAUUGCCUUCAUCCUGGCUUCUUUCACCUAGGAAGUUGGGCUCUCACAUUAUGUGCUAAGCAAUUAAAAAUUAUUUCUGUAUUGGGGAGGCACUUUUACAGCGUAGAACGUAGCAAUAAAAUCAGACAAUUUUAUUUAAAGUCGAGGCUCUCAGAGAGUUUAUGUUUCCGUGAAAGACAAACGAGUAAGAUUAAGUAGAAAUGACGUUCCCAAACGUGACGUGAGUAGAACUGCGGGGAAGUGGCCGAAUGGGCGACAGCCUGACAUGAUGAGGAGCCCGACUGCGGAGUGCAGGGCGCAGGAGAGAGACAGGGCAUACCCAGGGAUGCACCUUAAUAACUUGGGCAUUUACUCAUCCGACAGGCGGCAUUGAGCAUUCGUGCGUAAAAGGGAGGCGCUGCCCGCUCGCCUCGUGCGGCCCGUAGACCACUGCCAGCGCCUGGGUGUGAAGAUUGCUCUACAUAGGCAGAGCCGUCGGUCUGCGCUAACACGCGCCUGCGCGCCUGGAUCUUGCGCAGCUCCGCGGCGCGACAACUGUCCACCCGGUAACCCAGGUCAGACAGGGGUCCAGCUCCGCCAGGUCGCCGACCCAGCUCUCUGUGUCGCGGAGAACACGGCACCCGGAAGCCCGGGCUUUGCGGAUUCAGUUUCCGGCUGUCCGUUCCCUUCCAGUUCCGGGAACUACGAUUCCCUACGAUCCGGACACUUUCCGGGCCCGGGACUACCACUCCUCCGGACUCAUUCUGGCCGGGGACUACGAUUCACCUUUCCGGCGAGGACUCCCGACCUAAAAGCAACAUUUUUAAGGCUGUCUGGUUGUCUGGGAAACAGGGUUCUGGUAGCUAUCGUGUGAGGGUGCGGAACUGAUAGAACCUUAAAGGACAUAGCAACAGUCAAGAGCCAGUUGGUAGGAUCAGGCAAUAGUUUCUUGUUAUUUUUUUAAAUUUCUUAUGAAUUUUAUUUAUUCAUAUUAAUUAUAAUGGAUACAUUGCAGUCUGUUAUGAAUUUAAUCAAUAUAAAAUAUAAAUACAUUACAACGAGUGCAGUGGCCAAGCCUACAAUCCUAGCCAUUCAGGAGGCUGAGGAAGGAGGAUCACAAGUUCAAGGUCAGCCUCAGCAACUUCGUGAAACUCUGUCUCAAAAUAAAAAGGUCUUGGGAUGUGGUUCAGUGGUAGAGCACCACAGAAUUCAAUCCCCAGUAUACACAAAAGAGUAAAUUUAUUUUAUUAGCGUAUUGCUCCCCAAUCUAAGUGACCUGUAAUCUCAUUUUCUAAAAACGAAGGUUUUUUUUCUGUUAAAAAGAGAGAUACACAUGUACAUAUUUUUUUUUAAGUAAAAAGCUGUCUUUUCUAUAUUGUUUUAUUGUGUAGCUUGCUUUUCCCAUUCAGAAAAUACAUCAUUUUCUCCUGUGUAUUAGUGAGCUUUUCAUUCUGGUAAUCAAAACUCUUGACAUAAACAACCUAAAGGAGGAAAAGUUAAUUGUGGCUCAAGGUUUCAGAGGCCUCAGCCCAGGGUUGGCUGCUCCAAGGCAGAAACAUCAUGGCAAAAGGGCUUGGUGGAAGAAGGCUGCUCAGCUCAUGGUAACAGGGAAGGAGAGGUAGGGGAGGGGAUAUUCCCCACUUUUUAAGUACCGGCAAAUUGAGGAACCAUAAUUAUCACACAUCAAACCAGCUGGAGUACCAGAUGGGGCUUUUCUCCCAGUGCUUCCUCCUUCCUUGAAUUUCUCAUUUAGGUGGAAGAACCCCUUCUCCUGAAACUGCCUGGGGCUUCUGAGCUAACUGAUGGCACUUGUGGUUAGUUACUGUUUAUGGGUCUUGCAUCCAAGGCUUGUGCCCCAAGGCCAGCUGUCUCCCUGCAUCUCAUGUUUAUGUGCUCAUUUGCAAGACAAAACUGUUGGGGCUCAGUACACAGGGCAGUCACCCCUUAUGUCUUCCCAAUGAGACAGUAAGGUUCCUUUUGACCAUAUUAUUUAGGGGCUUCCCUGUGAGUCUGCUGCAUUUCCUGAGCUAUUCCCUGCGCCACCUGCACCCAGUUGGGUUGAAGGGAACAGUGCCUCCUAUCUUUGAUAUGUUUAUAAAGUAAACUCAUAAAAUUUCUAUAUUAAAAGGGAACAAGGGGGCUGGUGCUGGGGCUCAGUGGUAGCACACUUGCCUGGCAUGUAUGAGGCACUGGGUUCGAUUCUCAGCACCAUAUAUAAAUAAAAAAUUAAAUAAAGGUCUAUCAACAAUUUGAAAAAAAGUGUGUGGNAACACGCGCCUGCGCGCCUGGAUCUUGCGCAGCUCCGCGGCGCGACAACUGUCCACCCGGUAACCCAGGUCAGACAGGGGUCCAGCUCCGCCAGGUCGCCGACCCAGCUCUCUGUGUCGCGGAGAACAC
rnacentral:lncRNA from 1 species